UACGUAGGGACCGAGCGUUGUCCGGAAUCAUUGGGUGUAAAGGGUCCUCAGGCGGAUGUGUAAGUCGGAGGUGAAAUCUUCCCGCUCAACGGGAAAACUGCUUUCGAUACUGCACGUCUUGAGUACGGGAGAGGGUGGUGGAAUUCCUGGUGUAGCGGUGAAAUGCGUAGAUAUCAGGAAGAACACCGGUAGCGAAGGCGGCCACCUGGCCCGUUACUGACGAUCAGGGACGAAAGCGUGGGGAGCAAACAGG
rnacentral:rRNA from 1 species